GACGAACGCUGGCGGCGUGCUUAACACAUGCAAGUCGAACGGAAAGGCCCUGCUUUUGUGGGGUGCUCGAGUGGCGAACGGGUGAGUAACACGUGAGUAACCUGCCCUUGACUUUGGUAUAACUUCAGGAAACUGGGGCUAAUACCGGAUAGGAGCUCCUGCUGCAUGGUGGGGGUUGGAAAGUUUCGGCGGUUGGGGAUGGACUCGCGGCUUAUCAGCUUGUUGGUGGGGUAGUGGCUUACCAAGGCUUUGACGGGUAGCCGGCCUGAGAGGGUGACCGGCCACAUUGGGACUGAGAUACGGCCCAGACUCCUACGGGAGGAAGCAGUGGGGAAUAUUGCACAAUGGGGGGAACCCUGAUGCAGCAACGCCGCGUGGGGGAGGACGGCCUUCGGGUUGUAAACCGUUUUCGCCUGUGACGAAGCGUGUGUGACGGUAAUGGGUAAAGAAGCACCGGCUAACUACGUG
rnacentral:rRNA from 1 species